UUUUUUUUUUUUUUGUGAUAUCUUUGUCUGGGUUUGGUCUUAGGCUGGUUCUGGCCUCUUAGAAUGAGUUUGGAAGUGUUUCUUCCUCUGCAACUUGUUGGAGAAUUUUGAGAAGGAAAGGGAUAUAAAUACCUGUACUCAGAAAAGUGUAAGACACCAAUGAAAGAAAUUGAAGACAACAUAGAUGAAAAGGUAUACUAUGUUUUUUGAUUGGAAAAAUUAAUAUUAUUAAAAUGAUCAUACUACCCAAGACAAUCUUCAGAUUCAAUGCAUUCCCUGUCAAAAAGUACCAAUGGCAUUCUUCACAGAACUGGGACAAAAAUUUCAAAAUUUGUAAGGAAACACAAAAUAUCCCAAAUAGCUAAAACAAUCUUGAGGAAGGAAGAACAGAGCUGAAGGGUUUGUGCCCCCUGAUCUCAGACUAUACUACAAAGCUACAAGUCAAAACAGUAUAGUCCUGGCACAAAAAUAGAAAUACAAAUCAGUGGAACAAUAUAGAGAGCCAGAAAUAAACCUAUACACUUAUGGUCAAUUAAUUUAAGACCAAGAAGUCAAGAAUAUACAAUGGAGAAAAGACAGUCACUUCAUUAAUUGGUGCUGAAACUGGACAGCUACAUUUAAAAGAAUGAAAUUAGAACAUUUUCUCACACCGUAUAUAAAAAUAAACUUAAAUUGUAUUAAAGACUUAAAUGUAAGAGUACAAACCAUAAAACUUCUAGAGGAAAACAUUGGUAAAUCAUAAAGCAUAGGUAAAUAUAUGUAGUAUACAUGUAUUUUUUUUUCUCCUAAAGCAAAGGGAACAAAAGCAAAAAUAUAAAAAUUGGAUCUGAUUUUACUUAAAAGCUUUUGCACAGCAAAGGAUGCUAUCAACAAAAUGAAAAGAAAAAAACCACUUACUGAAAGGGAGGAAAUAUUUGUAAAUGAUGCGAUCAAUAAGAGGUUAAUAUCCAACAUACAUAAAUAGCUCAUAUGACUCAACAUCAAAAAAAAAAAACUGAUUAAAAAAUGUGCAGAAGACCUGAGUAGACAUUUUUUCUGAAGAGGAAAUGCAAAUGGCCAACAGACACAUGAAAAGAUGCUUAACGUGGCUAAUCAUGAGUAAAAUGCAAGUCAAAACCACAAUGAGAUAUCACCUCACACCUGUCAGAAUGGCUAUGAACCAAAGCAAACAGACAAACAAUCAAAAAAAAUAACAAAUGUUGGUGAAGAUAUGCUGAAAAUCAAUCCUCCUAAACUGUGGUGGGAAUGUAAAUUGGUUUAACCACCACGGAAAAAAGCAUGGAGUGUUCUCCAAAACUGAAGAAACAGAACCACCAUAUGACACAGCAAAUCUACUCCUGGGUAUAUAUUUGAAAAAAAGAAAACACUAAUUCAAAAAAGAUACAAGCACUUUAAUGUUUGUAGCAGCCCUAUUUACAAUUGCCGAUAUAGAAGCAACCUAAGUACCCAUCAACACAUGAAUGGAUAAAGAAUAAGUCACACACAUACACACAACUUGGAACAUUACUCAGCCAUAAAAUUAAUAAAAUUUUGCUAUUGUAACAACAUAGAUGGACUUGGAGGGCAUUAUGCUAAGUGAAAUAAGACAGAGAAAAGAAAAAUACUGUAUGAUAUCACUUAUAUGUGGAAUCUAAAAUAUACAAUAAACUAGUUAAUAUAACCAAAAAAGAAGCAGAUUCACAGACACAGGAACACACUAGUUUUUACCAGUGGGGAUAGGGAAGGGGGAGGGGCACUAUAGUCAUAGAGGAUUAAAAAUUACAAAGUAUUAUGUAUAGAAUAAGCUUCAAGGACAUAUUGUGUAAUACAGGAAUAGAGCCAAUGUUUUAUAAUAAAUAUAAAUGGGGUAUAACCUUUAAAAAUCCUAAUCAAUAUAUUGUAUACUGCAAUUUUAUAUACUAUUGUAUAUCAACUAUAUUUAUAUAAAAAUAAAAAUAAUAUGAAAAAUAAAAAUUAUGCAAAGGUAUUGCAGAACAGCUAACAAUGAUAAGGUACUCUUUUGGCUCUAUUUGAAAAAGGCAGUGAAAGAGUAAGAAAAUAGUGAAAAGCAAGACAACUAAGUAAUGAAGAAGGGGUGACACACAAGCUAAAUUCAAACUUCAGCUAAUGUUUUCCUAUACAUAUUGCAUUUUGUAAGCAACUAUCUUAAGAGAGAAAGAGAACCAGAAGAGAAUAGUAAAAUGAUCUACCACCCUAGGACUCAUAAAGAAUUUCUUCUCAUCAGUUGCGCUGUUUUUUUGUGUACAGAAUGUGAGGGCUUCAUGUAUGAGCUCAGGCACAGGACGUGAAAGCAGGCUUUCAUCCAACCAGUGACCAUAAGUUCACAUAAAUCCACAAGUCUGGUUAGUGGCUGCCACCACAUAACUCGACAGCAGAUUCUACCUUCUCUGCUCAAGACUGCAGGAGACUAUUAUGAAAUAUCAGAAAGGCAUGUUGAGCCAUAGAAAGGAGAACCAAAGAUUUGAUAUCCAGAGACAAUGUUUACCCUUCUUCUUUAAGAGGACGAAAAAAAACAAAACAAAAAUAAUAACCCUGGAAAUAUUUCCUGUGGCUCAUAGGAGAAUCAUUUUAAUAUUUUAAAUAUUUUAACUUUGCUUGAAAAAGUCUUGUUAAAGUGGAUUAGAAGAAUACACAUAAAUAAGGCUCAACUCUUGACCCAACUAAUCGGAUUUCCCAUGAGUUAUGUGUGCAUCAGUUGCAAGUAGCAGGUAGUAACUAUUGCAUUCUCUCUCUGUAUGGCCAUCAGUUUUUAGAAGUAUUAGAAGCUUCACAGAGAGCUGCUUGCCUGGAGAGAAAGCAAGGCUCUCCUCAUUAGCACACAGUAGUGAUCCACAGGGUAGCCAGCAUUUGAUUAUUAAUAUGAACUGUUUGUGCCAUUAGCUGUCACCUGUUUCAAAAACUUGUGUGGUGCUGUUUAGCUUUGGACUUUCUUUCCUGCUGUCAAAUUUAGUUAAAAUGUGCCUCUGGGAUCAAAUGUCAUAAGGGGAAAUGCACAGUAGGAGUGAUUUCAUAAGUCUUCUUCCUGUAGGAAUCCCCGUUGAAAACUAAAUUAAUUCUUAAUACAUAAUAUUUUGUACUAGCUUCAUAGUUCCCUAAACCUUAGGAUAGAAACAAUAUUUAUUAAUAAUGUCCUGAGGUUUUUGAGUCAGUAUGCACUGUUAUAAUUCAUUUUAUCUCUUUUGAAAUAGCAGUUGCUUUAAAUUGAUUUAUUCCCCAUUGAUGUUUGAAGUUGCUGUCAGAGAACUUUCUUUAAUUUUAAUUUGUGGUAAUUACAUUAAUUCAAGCCUUCUGUUAGAUUUUUAUGGUGAGUAUUAGCAAAGUAAACUUGGUAUUUAUGUAUCUUUUGCUACUAAGGUUCAACUAAUAAUCAACAUGAAUAUUUCAAAUAAAAAAUCAUACCCAAGUAAAAUCACCCCAUGGGUAAUUACAGCAAAUAAAAUGAUGAUAUCAAAUCAUAUCUCAACAUUGCACACAUACCCAUUUUAUAGAACAAAAGAAUGAAAGAACUAGAAUUGGAAAGAUUAAGUUUGUUCAAUGUAUAGCCAAUUUUUCUCUCUUGAAGGUAGGACCAUGUGUUUUAAACAUUUCAACCAAUCUCUGCCAUAAAGAACAAUAAUAAAUCUUGGCUGAAAUUUUAAUAUCAUAAGUGGUAUUGUAUUUAAUUUUAAAUUAUUUUAGUAAUCUUUUAAAACUAUCAUAAUUAAAUCAUAAGCAAUCGAUAUGGAAGAAACAUGAUUUUUUUUAAGGUACUUCAAUAAGCUAUUGAUGUUCUGCCAAUAAAGAAAUGAUUCAAAGGCAUAAGACAGGAUAGUGAAUUUUGGAAGAUGAAGGUCAGUCAGAAUGUUCUAAUGAAACUAUGAAUGAGAAAAAGAAUACAAAAGUAGGGGAAUAAAAAGAAGAGGUCUCCAGAAUAAGAAUUCACAUCCCAUAACAGAGAGAACUCUUAGUGCCCUCUGGCGAACAAAAUAUUAUGGUACCUAUUCUGAUGGAGUAUAGACUUGUUCCUAAAAUGCUAAACCACAAGUAUAUAGCCACGUUUGUAAGAUUUUUAUUGCUUUAUAUGUCCACAACUGUUCACCCACCGACUAUUUACUGCUGGGGGAUUUAUUGUGAUUUCAGAUAUAUAUGUGAAAACCAUUUCGACUUUGAAAUUUUGCCUGGGGGAAAAAAUCCAUAGAGUAUUAUUCAUCUUCCAUUUUGUUUUGUUAUGAAAUUGGUGGUAACCCAGAACUUAGCAAUAGGUCUUUGCUUUGGGAGGUUGGGGGCCAGAUCUGUUUAUAAGUCCCAACUUUGAAACAAAAAUGGUUAUAAGGCCAAUACAUCCAAACAAAAAUAUGCAUACUGCCUGUUCCAGUUUUCAAGGGAGUACUGCUAAAAAAGUAUGCUUCAAAUUAAGAUCUAACUAACUUUUAGGCUUUUAGAUUUACCAGAGACAGAGUCCUAUUAUUAAUAGUAUUUAAUCAGAAAUAACAGUUGGUAAACAUGAUUUCAGUACAUAUUUGGGAUAACUAAUAUAUGUACAUGCUUGUUUUUUUGGAAAUUGUUGGGGGAAGAAAAUACAUGGCCAACUGAUACUGAUAAAGUUAUUUUCUUCAGGAUAUUCCUGCCUGCUGACAGUUCUGGCUGACACUUUGUGGUGUUUUCAAUCUGUAGAAAAAUCAUUUUCUCAAGUUAUUGGCUUCUGCCAUAAUUUAGAAGCACUCACUUUUCCAUAGAUUCACUAUAUUUCCUUCAUUAUGAGAGUAAUAUUUCAAACUCUACAACACAGAACAUAUGUUUUAAUAAGCUAAUAGAGAAAAUUCAGUUCUGCUGUUACCUUAUUUCUACAGUGAAGACAAUAGGCUCUGAGAAAGAUGUGGUGGUAUGAAUACUUCUGAGCAUCCCUGCAUGCUUUGAGGGUGCCAUCUCCAGGCCCCAUAGCGAUGCUAAAGGGAUUGGAGGCAGGCAAUUCAUUUUAGGAAGUCAGCAGAAAUGACUGAAGGAUGGUUGUGUAAAUCUUCUUUCCCAUGAUCUCUUUAGCUUUUCAGAAAACACUGCUUCAAGUUUUACAAGCUUUUAUAUAAAUGUUCAAGAGGUUCUUCUGCCUAAAGUAAUGCAGCAGGGGCUAUUAUAUCAUAUACUACUAUUUAUGAAAAGGACCUUGAUUAUAGUGAUUAAUUUAAUAGGGAAAAAUUCUUGAAGAUGACAAUAGGUUCCUGAAAGCUUGUAUUCUAGCUAAGUAUAACAUUUCCUCCUCACAAUGUUUUUAAAAACACUGAGCAAACCAAACAGCAAAGAUCUGCCACUUUGUAACUUGAGGUAUACAUGAUGUGACUGCAAAGCCCUACCCUCCAAAAAGUCCUUGCCCUGAAAUUUUAUUAUCAGCAAUACAUCCCUUUUCCCUCUCUUGCAGGUAAUCUUUCUGUGUGCAAAUAUUCUCUAUUCUCUAUUGGCCGCACCCGCAGCAUACAAAAUUCCCUCAGCCAGGGAUCGAACCUGAGCCACAGAUGUGACAGUGCAGAAUCUUUAACCACCAGGCUACUAGGGAACUCCUCCUAUUAAGGUAAUACUUUCCAUUUUUUUCC
ensembl:lncRNA